rnacentral:rRNA from 1 species
UACGAAGGGGACUAGCGUUGUUCGGAAUCACUGGGCGUAAAGCGCACGUAGGCGGAUAUGUCAGUCAGGGGGUGAAAUCCCGGGGCUUAACCUCGGAACUGCCUUUGAUACAGCAUAUCUUGAGUCCGAUAGAGGUGGGUGGAAUUCCUAGUGUAGAGGUGAAAUUCGUAGAUAUUAGGAAGAACACCGGUGGCGAAGGCGGCCCACUGGAUCGGUACUGACGCUGAGAUGCGAAAGCGUGGGGAGCAAACAGG